UUUGGGGAAGUUUGAGGAAGUUUGAGGUGUGUGAGUCAGUGCUAACUAGAUGAAAUAGAGGUAGGUGUGUGAGUCAGUGCUAACUAGAUGAAAUAGAGGUAGGUGUGUGAGUCAGUGCUAACCAGAUGAAAUAGAGGUAGGUGUGUGAGUCAGUGCUAACUAGAUGAAAUAGAGGAAGGUUUGUGAGUCAGUGCUAACUAGAUGAAAUAGAGGUAGGUUUGUGAGUCAGUGCUAACUAGAUGAAAUAGAGGUAGGUGUGUGAGUCAGUGCUAACUAGAUGAAAUAGAGGUAGGUGUGUGAGUCAGUGCUAACUAGAUGAAAUAGAGGUAAGUGUGUGAGUCAGUGCUAACUAGAUGAAAUAGAGGUAGG